ensembl:lincRNA
CUGGUGUGUUGGUGGGGCCUGGAAUCCCAGCUAUUUGGGAGGCUGAGGUAGAAGAAUUGCUUGAACCAGGAGGUGGAGGCUGCAGUGAGCUGAGAUUGUGCCACUGUACUCCAGCCUGGAUGACAGAGCGAGACUUUGUCUCAAAAAAAAAAAAAAUUAUUUCCAUCAUCAGGACAAUCCCAAGUAUGUCUCAUUCCCAAAUGACAGGUGAAUGGGCCAUAAACCUAGGUGUCGUCCUCGGCUCAAGCACCUAUAUAGUAGGAAACAGGCCCUAGAAGUUGAGUGAAGUCCAGAGCUGUCAUGGGGCACUCUGCUGUGCCAUUAGCUUCUUCCUCCCUUUGGAACUCAGUUUUCUCAUCUAAAGAAUGGCGGUGUUUGCUCCAGAACCGCUAAUAUCCAGGUUGGGACUUUGUGUUGCUGUGAGCCCAGGUCCCCAGCCUGAAGCCUAGGACAACCCCCUGAGCUUGGGUGGGAGAGAAGGGCAAUGCAGACGUGACUGUCCUGCCAGGCGGGGGCGCCGCCACCAGACGCACGAAAACAACCAAAUAAAUCAGGCCCAGGAACUCCUAAUCCUUCCCGGCUGUGGCUGCUACCGCUCGCCCGGCCUGGGAGGUAGGCACCGCCCGGCCAAGGGCUCAGAGUCGGGCCAGCAGAGCCGAAGUGAUGUCCGGCCAUCCAGGCCAUCCAGGCGUCCUCAGCCCUCGAGGGACACUGGAUUGAUGGCUGAGGCUUUGCUGUGCCACCACAGGAGAUGGGGACACACCAUCCUGGAGCAGGUCCAUAGGGAAGCUGAGGCCUGGGGAGGUGGGGCUCACCUUUGCUUCUGCCUGCUCAGGAGGAGUAGGGGUGAGGGCUUCAGGGAGCCUGGGGAACCAUGCCUGCAUCUCCACCUUCCCCAUGGAGUCCAGAGUCCCAUCCUUCCAGAAGGUCUUCCAACAAAGUCUGGGCUUUGUUGAGUGUCCCCCCAACCCCAAUCCCACCUCCAGGAACUGUGGCUAACCUGAAGUGCAACAAAUGAGCAGAAUUAAUCUCUGUGAUGAUACACAUUAUUGGGUCUCAGGACCCAGCCUCCCAAGGUAAGGCUGGUUAUUUCUGAUCAUUAUGUCGGACCUUGGGGAGGAGGUAGGAACAGCCUCUCUAUUCAUGGAAAUCUUCCAUCAUCCUCUCCAGCUAAUUCACUUUCAGAGACUACAGUAGGCCCUCAGCUUUCUCUCCUUCUUUUCUUUUUUUUUCACCUGUUCUGAACAAAGGCAGUCUCCCCCUUUUCAAAGCUUCACUUCCAGAACUGCCUGUAGUCCCUUGAUUUAUUCACCUCCCACCCCACUCUACAACCCACCUCAACGCUGGUUCUUCCCAUAGUAAUGACUCCAGCCCAGCCCCUCAUUCUGAGUUCCAGCCCUGUGUGCUCCACUGCCUGCUUUCUACUUGACAUCCCCACUUGACCAUCUCAAAGUUAACAUGCCUGCUGUGGUUUGAAUGUGUCCUCCCAAAUGCAUGUGUUGGAAACUUAAUCUCCAAUGCAAUGGUGUUGGGAGAUGGGUCUAAUGGGGGGGGGCAUGUUUCAGUCAUGAGGGUACCACCCUCAUGAAUGGAUUAACGCUGAUUAUAAAAGAGCUUGGGGUCUGGCAUGGUGACUCAUGCCUGUAAUCCCAGCACUUUGGGAGGCUGAGGCGGGCAGAUCACCUGAGGUCAGGAGUUUGAGACAAGCCUGGCUAACAUGGUGAAACCCCGUUUCUCCUAAAAAAAAAAAAAAAAUACAAAAAAUUAGCUGGGCAUGGUGAUGCAUGCCUGUAGUCCCAGCUACUCAGGAGGCUGAGGCAGAAGAAUUGCUUGAAACCGGGAGGCGGAGGUUGCAGUGAGCCAAGAUUGCAUCAUUGCACUCCAGCCUGGUCAACAAGAGUGAAAAUCUGUCUCAAAAAAAAAAAAAAAAGAGCUUGGGUCUUUGAAUUCAAUCUCUUGCUCUCUUUUUCUCUUUCUCUCUCUCUCACCCUUCUGCCUUCUGCCAUAACAUGAUGCAGCAAGAAAGACCUCGCCAGAUGAGGGCCCCACAACCUUGGACUUCCCAGACUCCAGAGCUGCAAGAAAUAAAUCUCUGUUCUUUAUAAAUUACCCAGUCUCGGGCAUUAUUAUAGCAGCACAAAACAGACUAAGAUAAUGCCCAAGGCCAAAUUCAUGACUGUCUCCGUCAAAGCUGGUCCUCUUCCUGUACCUGUAAGCCAAUGACAGGGUCGUCCAUCCAAGUGUGUAAGACAGAAGGCCUGGUGCCAUCCUUGGCUCCUCUCUGAUACCCAGUCCACACCAGGCGCUGAGUGCUGACAAUUCUACCCUCUACACACAUAGAAAUUCCAUUCCUCCUCCACAGCGCCCUCUAGUUAAAGUCUCCUUCACGCACAUCACCUCCUUACUGGUCUCUCGGCAUCCACCCUCACUCUUCAGUGUCCCUGCCCCCACCAAUCCAUUUUCCAUCCACUCAAGAGAAAUCGUGUUGAGGUAGAAAUCUGAUCAUGCCAGUCCCCUGCUCAACA